CCUACGGGGGGCAGCAGUGGGGAAUAUUGCACAAUGGGCGCAAGCCUGAUGCAGCCAUGCCGCGUGUGUGAAGAAGGCCUUCGGGUUGUAAAGCACUUUCAGCGGGGAGGAAGGCGGUGAGGUUAAUAACCUCAUCGAUUGACGUUACCCGCAGAAGGAGCACCGGCUAACUCCGUGCCAGCAGCCGCGGUAAUACGGAGGGUGCAAGCGUUAAUCGGAAUUACUGGGCGUAAAGCGCACGCAGGCGGUCUGUCAAGUCGGAUGUGAAAUCCCCGGGCUCAACCUGGGAACUGCAUUCGAAACUGGCAGGCUAGAGUCUUGUAGAGGGGGGUAGAAUUCCAGGUGUAGCGGUGAAAUGCGUAGAGAUCUGGAGGAAUACCGGUGGCGAAGGCGGCCCCCUGGACAAAGACUGACGCUCAGGUGCGAAAGCGUGGGGAGCAAACAGGAUUAGAUACCCUAGUAGUC
rnacentral:rRNA from 1 species